GACGUAGGGGGCGAGCGUUGUCCGGAUUCAUUGGGCGUAAAGCGCGCGCAGGCGGCCGGGCAAGUCGGAUGUGAAAACCCGGAGCUCAACUCCGGGCCGUCAUUCGAAACUGCUCGGCUAGAGGCAGGUAGGGGAGAUCGGAAUUCCUGGUGUAGCGGUGAAAUGCGCAGAUAUCAGGAGGAACACCGGUGGCGAAGGCGGAUCUCUGGGCCUGUCCUGACGCUCAGGCGCGAAAGCUAGGGGAGCGAACAGG
rnacentral:rRNA from 1 species